CUUGCCACUGCCAUGUAAGAAAUACCUUUUGCCUCCCACCAUGAUCCUGAGGCCUCUUCAGCCACGUGGGACUUUUCUCUUGCUGCCGCCGUGUAAGAAGGACCUUUUGCCUCCCACCAUGAUUCUAAGUCCUCCCCAGCCACGUGGAACUGCUUUCAUUUGGUCUCUUUUCGAAUCAGAAGACCCAGAAAACUUGGAUCCACUUCUGGCUCUCAUCCCUCUGGGCAGUGUGAUUUGGAUUGAGCAGAUGCUCCGGCUGCCACUCCAUCAUAUAUUGGAAACAGCAUUACUUUAUAGUAAAUCAUGACCACGGUGUAUGGCAAUGAAGUUGCAUCUGAAGCAGCCGGCACCCUAUGUGCUAGCUGGCUUUUAGACCAGGAGACUGUGAAUCUGUGGUCAGGAUCUCUUUAGGGCUGCUAAAUAUAUACUACCCACUAUCACUCGCUGGAGCUGCAGACCCUAGUUUUAGAGUUUCACUUCUUAAAGACCUUCAUCCUUAUUAAAAUGGUAAUAUCC
rnacentral:lncRNA from 1 species